rnacentral:rRNA from 1 species
ACACAUGCAGUCGAGCGGUAACAGAUCCAGCUUGCUGGAUGCUGACGAGCGGCGGACGGGUGAGUAAUGCAUAGGAAUCUGCCCGAUAGUGGGGGAUAACCUGGGGAAACCCAGGCUAAUACCGCAUACGUCCUACGGGAGAAAGGGGGCUCCGGCUCCCGCUAUGGGAUGAGCCUAUGUCGGAUUAGCUAGUUGGUGAGGUAACGGCUCACCAAGGCCACGAUCCGUAGCUGGUCUGAGAGGAUGAUCAGCCACAUCGGGACUGAGACACGGCCCGAACUCCUACGGGAGGCAGCAGUGGGGAAUAUUGGACAAUGGGGGCAACCCUGAUCCAGCCAUGCCGCGUGUGUGAAGAAGGCCCUCGGGUUGUAAAGCACUUUCAGCGAGGAAGAACGCCUGUCGGUUAAUACCCGGUAGGAAAGACAUCACUCGCAGAAGAAGCACCGGCUAACUCCGUGCCAGCAGCCGCGGUAAUACGGAGGGUGCAAGCGUUAAUCGGAAUUACUGGGCGUAAAGCGCGCGUAGGUGGCUUGAUAAGCCGGUUGUGAAAGCCCCGGGCUCAACCUGGGAACGGCAUCCGGAACUGUCAAGCUAGAGUGCAGGAGAGGAAGGUAGAAUUCCCGGUGUAGCGGUGAAAUGCGUAGAGAUCGGGAGGAAUACCAGUGGCGAAGGCGGCCUUCUGGACUGACACUGACACUGAGGUGCGAAAGCGUGGGUAGCAAACAGGAUUAGAUACCCUGGUAGUCCACGCCGUAAACGAUGUCGACCAGCCGUUGGGUGCCUAGCGCACUUUGUGGCGA